rnacentral:rRNA from 1 species
AUGCAGUCGAGGGGUAUAGUUCUUCGGAACUAGAGACCGGCGCACGGGUGCGUAACGCGUAUGCAAUCUACCUUUUACAGAGGGAUAGCCCAGAGAAAUUUGGAUUAAUACCUCAUAGCAUAGCAAUCUCGCAUGAGAUCACUAUUAAAGUCACAACGGUAAAAGAUGAGCAUGCGUCCCAUUAGCUAGUUGGUAAGGUAACGGCUUACCAAGGCUACGAUGGGUAGGGGUCCUGAGAGGGAGAUCCCCCACACUGGUACUGAGACACGGACCAGACUCCUACGGGAGGCAGCAGUGAGGAAUAUUGGACAAUGGGCGCAAGCCUGAUCCAGCCAUGCCGCGUGCAGGAUGACGGUCCUAUGGAUUGUAAACUGCUUUUNUACGAGAAGAAACACUCCAACGUGUUGGAGCUUGACGGUAUCGUAAGAAUAAGGAUCGGCUAACUCCGUGCCAGCAGCCGCGGUAAUACGGAGGAUCCAAGCGUUAUCCGGAAUCAUUGGGUUUAAAGGGUCCGUAGGCGGUUUAGUAAGUCAGUGGUGAAAGCCCAUCGCUCAACGGUGGAACGGCCAUUGAUACUGCUAAACUUGAAUUAUUAGGAAGUAACUAGAAUAUGAAGUGUAGCGGUGAAAUGCUUAGAGAUUACAUGGAAUACCAAUUGCGAAGGCAGGUUACUACUAAUGGAUUGACGCUGAUGGACGAAAGCGUGGGUAGCGAACAGGAUUAGAUACCCUGGUAGUCCACGCCGUAAACGAUGGAUACUAGCUGUUGGGAGCAAUCUCAGUGGCUAAGCGAAAGUGAUAAGUAUCC